rnacentral:rRNA from 1 species
GACGAACGCUGGCGGCGUGCUUAACACGUGCAAGUCGAGCGGUAAGGCUCCUUCGGGAGUACACGAGCGGCGAACGGGUGAGUAACACGUGAGUAAUCUGCCCUUCACUUCGGGAUAACCACCGGAAACGGUGGCUAAUACCGAAUACGACCAGUCUUCGCAUGAGGUGCUGGUGGAAAGUCUUUUCGGUGAAGGAUGUGCUCGCGGCCUAUCAGCUUGUUGGUGGGGUAAUGGCCUACCAAGGCUUCGACGGGUAGCCGGCCUGAGAGGGUGACCGGCCACACUGGGACUGAGACACGGCCCAGACUCCUACGGGAGGCAGCAGUGGGGAAUAUUGGACAAUGGGCGAAAGCCUGAUCCAGCAACGCCGCGUGAGGGAUGACGGCCUUCGGGUUGUAAACCUCUUUCAGUACCGACGAAGCGCCCUGUCGGGUGGUGACGGUAGGUACAGAAGAAGGACCGGCCAACUACGUG